GUGCUGCUGAAGAGUCUCAAACUAGGACGAAACAGCUGUCCAGUAC
rfam:Trichobilharzia regenti genome assembly, scaffold: TRE_scaffold0110117